GGGAUGACGUGUUACGACGUGAUGACGUAUGUACAAGAGCCUUCCGUGGCCAGGCCACAGCUGCGACGGCCAACGGCCACGGCCAGAUGGCCUAGUGUGAGUGCAGGCCAGAGAACAAUGGGGCCAUUUGAGCACGGUUAGGUGUGAAAACGGCCAACGGCCACGGCCAGAUGGCCUAGUAUUGAUCGAGAGCAGGACAGAAGAGUCCUCCCUGAGGAGUGGCCCCAGUGGAUCCCCAGAUUCCCACAGAAGAUUCAGACAGCGAGAGAGAGGAGCCUCCAACAACGAGUGGCGGCCCAAGACAUUUCCAAAUCAAGAACCGAUAGAUCUUUAGGGACAUUCAUUGAAGUGUUCAGUUUUAAUGAGAUGUCACUGUUUGGAUUCUCUGUCUGAUAUGUGUAAAUGUGGCUCAAACUUGAAUCUAAUCUUGCAGAGUCCGCCUAAUACCCAUUGUGAAUAUGAUGUUUGUUAUUAUGUGUUUGAUAGAUGUUUAUGGAUCGAAUUGAAGAAAAAUUGACACUGCUUAUUUAAACAGGCUGUUAAUGCUUGUCAUACUUACAUUUGUUGGAAUUCAGCUAAUUGUAUUCAGGA
ensembl:lncRNA